rnacentral:lncRNA from 1 species
AUGGACGCCAUGCUCUGGAGUGCUUUGUCCUUGGAGACCUGGUCCUGGGGACCCGGGGCUGACGGCUCCCAUGUUUGCAUAGGACACAGGCAGGGACUCCUGUCCGCAGCACUACUGAUGACUUCAUGCCCAGAUACUGAUGCCCAGGACCCAGGUUCUACCCUAUGUUCUCCAUAUGUGGCUUCACAAGCUCAUUGGGUUUUGUUUGAGACAGGAUCUCACUAUGCAGCCCAGGCUGGCCUCAAACUCAUGCCAAUCCUCCUGCCUCAGCCUUCUGAGUGCUGGGAUCACAGCCAUGUGCUACCACGCCUACUUUACUUGAUCUUUGCAGCAAUCUUAAGUAGUAGGUUCAAAUAUUAUCUCUGCCUUAUAGAUGACGAAACUGAAACAAGAGGUUAUACAACUUGUCUAAGGUCACACAGCCAGAUGCUGCAGCUGGGUCAGAUGCGUGUCUGCUUGGCAAUGCCCUGCACACAGCCCAUCUCAGCUGCUUCGCCCCUCUGUACUCUGCCUGUCUGUCCGUCCCUUCCUAUGAGCAGUCACUCAGGGCAGGGGCCAGGCAGCCCUGUGGGUCCCUGCUGCGAAGGCCCCUGGGGAGGCGGUGGCAGCUCUGAGGAAGGCACAAGGGCUGCAAAAGCACACGCACUGGCUCCCUACCUGUUUUCUUGUCCGUGUCUUCCCUGUCCUCAGUUUGAUGUAGCGGGCGAUGAGCUCAUUUCGACCUAGAUCAGGUAAGAAAACAUGAGGAGCGGCAGAGGCCCAGGACUCCGGCCCCGCGUGCUCCUCCCCAGCUCCCCAAGCUGCUCCCCAACUGCCUGCAGGGCCUGGGGGUGCUACACAGGGGCAGACAGGGCAGCAGCCAGACGGCGCCCCCAGACCCCGCAGUGCUUCCUUCCUGGGGCACCUGGAAGGGGUGGGGACGCCCAGCAGGUGCCCAUGCAGGUCUGUGCAAGAUCUGGACUAGCGCCUUCCCUUCGCUGGUGAAGGAGGACAGAUGGACAGGAGGGAGGGACGGAGAGGCACACGGCGGCCUCCAACUGUCUCCUACCCUCCCAGCCUGUGUCACCGAGCAUGUCACCCUGACCCUGGCUGCCACCCCCAAGCCCGCCCAGGAGUGGAGCCCGCUCACCACACGGCCCUUCUGGGGGACCAGGCCUGCGGGGGUGGUUAGGGACACAUGGUCGGGUGUACAUCUGCACCCUUAAGCCCCCCCCACCCCCGGCCUCCCCAGNNNNNNNNNNNNNNNNNNNNNNNNNNNNNNNNNNNNNNNNNNNNNNNNNNNNNNNNNNNNNNNNNNNNNNNNNNNNNNNNNNNNNNNNNNNNNNNNNNNNNNNNNNNNNNNNNNNNNNNNNNNNNNNNNNNNNNNNNNUGAGGACGGGUGACACCCGGGCAUGGCAGGCCCUACCGGUCCCCCAUGGCCACCAGAGCCUGGCCUCGGGCCACAGGCUAGCAUGAAGCAGGCCCAGAGAGGCCAAGUUAUGCCCAGACGCAGCUCUGGGGCACCCUCUCCAUGUUGGACAGGAGGGGAGCGUCCCUCCUGGGGGCGGGCAAAGUGUCACAGCCUGCCGGGGAGGGUCCUGGGGACAGGAGGGCAGGUCCCCAGGCCCCUCCAGUGCUGCUGACGCAGGCCCAGCGUGACCUCCCAGCCUCACCCGGGAGGGGGCCGCACCCCUGGCCUCAGCCCCAGGGAUCCCUCCCCCUGCCGCAGGGGCAGAGACCCUCUGGGGGCCUGGCCUGCAGCGCACCGAGCUGACCCAGUUUCCUGGGCCCACUGAGUCACCCCGAAACCUCCAGGCCCAGGCCGGGCAGGCGGGGCGAGCAAGAGGUACAGGCCGCCCAGCUUGUUUGUGAGGCGCCCGAGCCAGCCCCGCACGCCCGGACUCGCCCCGCUGGCCCUGGGCCAGCACGUGGCCCGACUGGUUGGGCGAGGGGUGGCCGAGGGAGGGCUCCGUCCUGCCUGCCUCACGCACCGUACAUCUUGCCCUCGUCCGACAGGAUGAUCUUGCGGCGGCCGCAGGGCGGGUAGAUGGCCAGGGCCUCCUGGAAGCUCUGCUCGAUGUCCGGGCUCCACACGCCCUCCGCGUCAUUGUCCAGCCCUUUGUCCAGGCCCUCGGGCCCAUCCUCCCGGGCCUCGCCGGGGCUGCCGCUGGUGCUCCAGCUGUUGGACGCUAUUGUGCUGGUUGCUCUGGGCUCCGGGCCUGAGCCCACGGGGCAGCCUGAACCUGGGGACAGAGCAGGGGUCAGGCCAGGGUCCCCACCACCCACCACUGCCUGACCUCAUCCCCACUGCUGGGGUCACCCUGCCGCAAGACGAGUUAAGGGCCUGGGGUGGGGGUGAGAACUCAACUGAGCUCACUACGCCAUCCCAGCCACAGCGACCACUCCAACACGCAGACCAGAGCUGCAGAGCGCAAGAGCAGCAGUGAGGACGCCCAGACCGUGCGUGUACAUGGCACGCGUUGGGCAGCACCUGGUCCAUCUGGGCCUCACCAGAUGGGGGCAGGGAAGCCAAAGGCGAUGCCCACUCGGUUGAGGGAAACUGAGGCCUAAGGGUCAGACAGCAUCACCAAGAUGAGCAGAGAAGGACAAGGUCUAGGCCAGUGAUUCCGCAGCUCAGCCACCAGCGAGGCCCAGAUCUCCACCCAGGGACCCCUCCUUCAGGCCCAGGAUGGGUUUGCCUUCCCUCCAGAUAACUCCAAGGGUUGCGGCUGGCAUCCCACUCCUGUCCCGAACUUUAGCGGCCCCACAGCAGCCCAUAAACCGCCCUUGGUCUCCCUGGGGUGGCCCACACAGCACAGGGCCGGCUCUGUAAACUGAGUACCCUGCUCUGCCAGGCUGGCCCGGCAGCGUAGACCACACCCAGCGACGCCCCCGGCAGGCCAGCCCAGGCCCGAAGGCCUGAGUGCACCUGAGGCCUGGAGCCCAGGGCUUUGCCAUGAGCAGCAGGAAACACAGGAGGCUGGGUGGACAGGUGGGGACCCCGAGAGAAGCCAGAGAAGACCUGAGUCCCAGGUGUUCUGAUGGGGGGACUUCUCAGCAGGAGCCUCUGGUUGGGGAGCCCCGAGGGGGUCAGUAAUGGAGCAGGGUGGUGAGGCCCUCAGGGUCCUGGGGUCAGGUACAGAGUUAGGCAGUGCUGCGACUAACAAUACUGCCAAAUUCCAGGAAGGUUGUGGGGUUUCACCCAUUCAUUCAUUUAAUCCUCCAUAGCCAAGCGUGAUCACAUGCACCUGUAAUCUCAGCACUGAGGAGGCUGAGGCAGGAGGAUUGCCUGGAGUUUGAAGCCAGCCUUGGCUACAUAAUGAAUUCAAGGCCAGCCUGAACUCCACAGCGAGUCUGUCUUGAAAGAAACAGAGAGAAAGAUCUUCACAAUAAACCCAAGGAUGCUAUUAUUAGGUUGUGGGGUUUUUUUGGUAUUGGGGAUUGAACUCAGGACCUUGUGCUUUCGAGACAGGUGGCUCUGGCACCACUGAACUAAAUCCCCGGCCCAAUUUUACUUUAUAGAUGAGGACAUCAAGGAACAGGGAUCAAACAACUUGUCCAAGGACACACAGCACGUAGUGCUAGAGCUGAUUCUGAACCCAGGUCUCUGGCUUGUCUCUUGACCAAGGAGGCCAAAGGGAGGGAGCUGAAAACCCCACCACUUGGGCUGAGAAAGGAGGCUCAGCUGGGACAACGUCCUGAGUCUGCUCCGUGGGGUUCAGCCCAGGGGGACUCCCUCAGCCCAAGUGGCUGAAGCAACUUCAAGGACCCAAACUGCUUUCCACCCCUUCCUGUGACACCUGCAUGCCCAGGGUCGGAGAGGCCAGACCCCAUCCCCAAGCACAUGCUUGGAGCAGAAAUGGGGGUCACUGGGGGGCAGCCCUGUGGAAGCAGUGGGGAUGGCUGGGCUUCCAGCAGGCUUCAGCCUGGCCCCACACCGGGCUGUCAGAGGGAAAGAACGAGGGGCUCCCCGGAGCUGCACCCCACGCAGCCCUCAACCCUCUGCUUUCCCAGCCUCCCUCAGAGCACGGGGCGGAGCACCGGGGCCCCCCAGCAGCCCGACCUCUAAAGCAAUGUUCGUCUCCCCAGGUCCUCCGAGCCCCUCCACAGGCCGGCCCCCCCUCCCGGG